AGUGACCCCGUGUCUAACCACCGGGAUGUUCAUAACCCUUUGUUGUCCGACUCUGUUGCCUCCGGGGCGACCCUGCCUUCGGGCGGGGGCUCCGGGUGGACACUUCAAACUCUUGCGUAACUUUGCAGUCUGAGUAAACUUAAUUAAUAAAUUAAAACUUUUAACAACGGAUCUCUUGGUUCUGGCAUCGAUGAAGAACGCAGCGAAAUGCGAUAAGUAAUGUGAAUUGCAGAAUUCAGUGAAUCAUCGAAUCUUUGAACGCACAUUGCGCCCCCUGGUAUUCCGGGGGGCAUGCCUGUUCGAGCGUCAUUUCACCACUCAAGCCUCGCUUGGUAUUGGGCAACGCGGUCCGCCGCGUGCCUCAAAUCGACCGGCUGGGUCUUCUGUCCCCUAAGCGUUGUGGAAACUAUUCGCUAAAGGGUGUUCGGGAGGCUACGCCGUAAAACAACCCCAUUUCUAAGGUUGACCUCGGAUCAGGUAGGGAUACCCGCUGAACUUAAGCAUAUCAAUAAGCGGAGGA
rnacentral:rRNA from 1 species